GACGAACGCUGGCGGCGUGGAUUAGGCAUGCAAGUCGAACGGUAUCAUCCUUUCGGGGGUGAGAGAGUGGCGAACUGGUGAGUAACACGUAGGUUAUCUACCCUCAAGACGGGGACAACCCAGGGAAACUUGGGCUAAUACCGGAUGUGAGCAACUUUUAGUUGUUUGAAAGGUGGCGUAAGCUGUCGCUUGGGGAUGAGCCUGCGUCCUAUUAGUUAGUUGGUGAGGUAACGGCUCACCUAGGCAAUGAUAGGUAGGCGGCCUUAACGGGUGGUCGCCCACACUGGGAUUGAGAUACGGCCCAGACUCCUACGGGAGGCAGCAGUCGAGAAUAGUCUACAAUGGUCGGAAGACUGAUAGUGCGACGCCGCGUGAACGAUGAAUCCCUUCGGGGUGUAAAGUUCUUUUAUAUGUGAGCAGUGCUUCUUAUAUUAACAGUAUGGGGAGAGAGAUAUUAGCAUAUGAAUAAGCAACGGCUAACUCCGUGCCAGCAGCCGCGGUAAACUACGU
rnacentral:rRNA from 1 species